GCCCGGGUGGUGAAAUUGGUAGACACGCUAUCUUGAUGGGUGAUUAUCGAGAGCUUUGCCGUUUCGUGUCCGGCCCCGGGCACCA
rnacentral:tRNA from 1 species